UAUAUAUGUAAAAAGCUGGGAAAUAUGAAUGGAUUUUGCAUACUGCAGUAAUAUUCAGCUCUACAACAGCUCUCUCUCAAGGACAAACUCUUUAAUGUGACAAAUAUUCAUAGUGUUCACUGACCUAAGCUGACUUCAACUCCAGCUACUACAUACUUCUGGAUUCAAUUUAAACACCUUGACUGGAACAGGUGAAAAGUAGUUCGCAACACUGCUGACCAAAGAGUUGAGCUGCUCAGCCAUGUCCAUCAUCCUGCAGUCAGACUGAUACAGAGCCGAGCUUCAACAGCAUGGAACAGCCCCCUGAUCUCAGGCCCAGUGAUACUGUCUACACCAGCAGUCAGUGUGGAGAGAUACUGAAAAGCCCACAGUGCAUUUGUAAUUUACCGCCUAUUUUACGCCAUCCUAAAUAAACUAAAGAGCCUUUUAUGUCCAACUGUGCUGUCCCUGAAACUAAUCACUUUAAAAUAAUUCACCCAUAUUUAGAAAUCCUUGAUGGAUUUAGCUCUGUGGGGAAUAUUUAAAGAGCUACGGUUUGUUUAUGUACUGAAAUCUUUUAUAAAAUGUGUGUUUAGACUUUGUGUCUUUUCAUUUGUAUGGGUCUACUGAUUCAUUAGACGUUUCCUUUUAUGUGAAUGACAGGAUCGUGUCCAGAUGCUCCUCCAACGCCAUUCCACAUGCAAAAGCCAUAUGACAAUAUAAUUUAACAUUACAAGGACAAUUUCAUUUACAUUUUGUACAAAUAUCAUUAGUAAUAUCUAGGUCUUGAAUUAAAAAAACGUGAUGUCAACAGAUAAAUGGUUGUGUAUUUGAUUUAAUGGUGCUUCCUUUAGUAAAGUGAAUGAUGUCAUGUGCAGCGUGACACCAUGUAAUUUGAUCAUUCCAAAGCUUAGAAAUGAACUACAUCUCCAGUCAAGCUUAAGUUCUGUGCCUACAGUUUAUUAGUGGAGACUUAAAAAAAACAACCACAAUUACUCUUAAUCUUAAAGUCCCCAACACAAUUAUAUGAGAGGAUGAAUAGGACUGGAAGGUGUUAACUGAGGUUUAAUGUACUUGUACUUUAUGUACUGUAAGUAUUUCUAUGACAUGUUGCUUUCUGCUUUUACUCCACUAUAUUUUAGAUACAAUUAUUGCACUUUGCAAUUCAUAUUAUUAAUUUUAAAGCUUUAGUCACUUACAGUGGUUUCAUAGUGUAGUAGCUGACACACCUGCAUAAUAAAAGAAAGCUUCCUGGUGCACGACCAAGAGGACACACAAAUCUGCGAGGGGUUAUGCCAGGAAGGACAACCAGCUUAAAAAUUUGUGCCAAAUCCAACACGUGGUGACCUCUUGUGAGCAAAUAAGUACUUCCUAUUUUGCAGAUAAACUGGAUCAUUAUAUUAAGUAAUUAAAAUGAUCAACAUCUGCAAUAUUAACAAAAAACACAGAAUAAUAAUACUGUACCAUGCAUAUAAUUAUGAAAAGCAUCUUUCCACAUAAUGAGUACUUUGAGUAAUUUAAAUAUAUCUGGAAUUCCUGAUUUAAUAAUCUUUAUUUAUUUGUAUUUUUUUUUCAUGUGGGCACACCUUGUUAUAUUCUUGGUCCCCUGGAAAUGCCCCGGUGAAUGAAUGACAGAAUUACAAGCUAAAGAAAAAAAGAAUGAGAAAAACGUAAUGUGUCAAUAAUGCUUCCUGCCUUUGUUGAGGGCACACAAGCACACCCAUGAAUGUGACUCAGAGAUACACAUAGUUAAAAGAAAGGCAGUCACGCUGAAUUUAUAAGGUUUUUUUUCAGGUUUGAGAUAUUUUUUUUCAUACUUAAAACAAUUUAACACUGAUAGUUAGUGUGUGUUAUUCACAGUAUCAUCUAAGGAAAUACAGCCCUGAAGCUUUGAUGUCAAGUCUUCAAGAUCCACUGUAAAUAUGUCUCCUAAGCACAUAAGUUGCACUAGUUAAUAUGACAUCCAAGUUAUAGUACCAACCACAGUGACACCUCUAAUAAAACCUUCAUCCGCAAAGUGUCUUUACAGGCAACACUUAUUAUAACAGGAGUUGUGUGUUUGUGCUUUUGAUUGGUUUGUCCAUCAGGAGUCCUAAAGGAGCCACAGUGGAGGAUCAUUAAUCUGACGUGCUUCUUGCUGUCACAGGCCAUAACUAAUGAGUCAUAUUUCCAAACAGGUUGCUGAGGCUUCUCCAUUUCAAAAUGCAAUGUUUGGAACACUUCUCCAUUUGUGCACCAGACUUUACCAACGUGUAAUUUGGUAACUUUACACACGUUCCAGAAAAGUCUUAGCAUUUUUCAGUGUGAAGCAGUCUGUUAAUCAGUCAAGCAGUGCUGUCCUAUUAGUUCCUAUGGGAAUUCGCAGCAUAUCAUUUACCCUCACCACUAACCCAAUCCAUCCUUUUUUGCAUAAAUGAGAUACAUGACUCCGGUUUGAAAUCACUCUGUGGUCACGGGGCUAUGGUUCUGUCUGAAAAUUCACACUCCAGACUGAAGUAUAGGAGUACAGGAAUGAGUUUAAAAGGUUAUUCUGCAACUUUAAAUUGGCCAUGGAGAAACCUGGUGGUCAGUGUGACACCAGAUAAUGGCAGUAUUAAUAAGGAAGAGGAGAAAUAUCUCCAUUGUUCUUUACAACCUACUGACUGUCUGCACUCCCGCAGAUAGGGCUCAAAGAGAACAAAGAGGAAAUACAAUAUGAGAUAUUCAUCCACAUCUGCCAAUAAUGGAAAAAAACAAAAAACAAAUUAUAAAUGAUAUUUUCUAACAUAAGGCCCUUUUGUUUAUUUAGGACUACAAUUGCAACUAAUUUCUAUUCAUUAAAUGCAGCUGCCCUGUCUGCACCUUUAACAAUUAAUCUUAAUGUUUUCAUUAAAAUGUCACUACAGUCAGCAAAGAAAGGAAGACUUGCGCUCCCUCCUGACUUCACUUACUCAUAAUCUGUCAGGAUUUUGAAGGGUUUAGUUGUGUUGUUUCAGAGUACGUUAGGCAGAUCCCAGGGGUUCAAGAAAUUAAAAAGCGAUGCUACAACAGGCCUGAAGGCUGUAGUGUUUUGUUUUUCUCUGCUGUAGGAGAACAGAGGAAAUCUGCUCACCACCCUAGGUGCAUGUUGUUUUGUUUUCUUCCUCUGGGUCAGUACAGUUCUUCAGAACCUGGAUGCUGUACACGCACUGCCCCAGCUGAAUGGAUGAUCUGGGGCUGUUCAUUCAUUAUCCAUGCUCUCUCUAGCUCAGAGAACAAAUUCUUUGGGGAACACCUGGAUUGGUGUCUUGGAAUAUCAAUACGGACUACAAAUUACUCAACGUUAACUUUGAAAAGUGCCUUCCAGCAAAGUUUGCAUCUCUUAGGCCCCCUGCUGCUUAUAGUACAUAAAAGAUGGAUGUUGCCAACAUGAUAUCAUUGCAUUGAUUUAUGCAAUACAGUGAAUCUUUGAUGAUACAAGACAACCUCUCCAUCUUCUAUGUCCACAUCUAAACACAGAAACCGAGUCUCUGCAAACAUCUACCCUGGAAGGAGUUUCUCUAAAACUCCUGUUCUCAAUGACCUUGUCAUGCAUUGUGAAUUACAACCCAAAAUGCAGACUCUAAAAAAACUGGCGGCCACUAUGCUAUCCUCCAGCCUCCUAGUUCUUACACAUAUGGUGUGAAUUUCAAAAACCUAUGUCGCCUCGUUCUCUAGUUGUCGCAUUCACAAAAUUUUAAGAAAACUUGACCUCUGACCUUAAUGUCAAGGUCAACAGAAUUUGAACUCAUCUCAGAUUUUUAGUACAUGCACUUAUGGUAUAACUUUAAAAAUUCUAGCUGCCUUCCUUCUUGAGUUGUCGUAUUCGCAAGAUUUUCAGAAUAGCAAGAAACAGAAAUGCAGAAGUAGUAGGGAAACAUGAGGAACACAUUAUAACGGAUACACAAAUAGUCUGACAAAGGGCGUUGGCAGGCCUAUAUAUACACACAGAUACAGUGAUGGCUAGACUUUUGACCAAUCAACGAUCUCCUUCACUGUAGACUUGUAGGCUAAUGACAUCUAAUAAAAACUGCAAAAAACAAGACACUAGAAAUAAAUGACAAUCAAAAUAAAACAGGACGCCACUAAACAGGGAAUCAAUAAGACUUGACAAGAAAGAGGAUGACAGAGGGAAGGCAAGACUAAUAAAUCAAAAUAUAAAGAAUCCAAUAACAAUAACUGUAAAUAUACUGACUGAAACUAGAAUCUAAAAUAUCAAGAAACCCAUAAUACUAGAAUAAAUACUGGUAUACACAGAACUUCAAGUAAACUAGACAUAAAUCAGAAAACUACAAACAGUAACCUAACUGAGGAAGCGGUACAAGGAAACAAUCCUGAAACCACAAACCUUCCUAUAUUUACAUUAACCAUGACCAACUUAAAAUGCUGUUUACAUAUCUACAAAAGGCCAAAACACAUGGAAAAGGCUGCAUUUGCCAAAAUACUCUUGCAGGUGUGGACAGGGUCUAAAACAGCCUUUCAUAAGACGCUAUAAUCAUGUUUAUUUCCGAUCUGAAAUAUGAUCAUUUUAACAUGAGAGUCUAUGGCUCCAAAGCCCCUAUAGGGCCCCAAAGACUUUUGCAGCCUGCCCCAAGUGGUCAUUCAAAGAACUACAGUUGUUGGCACUCAAGCAUUGGCUUCAUUUGUUUUACAGUCAAAUCUCUGCCCACCUUAAAUUAAAAGCUGUUAAUUCAUGAAGCUAAAGACGAGAUUUACUCAUUUUAGCAUAAAGAGUAGAAGCGGCUCUAACAUUUAUAAAACUUGGUAUUUAGCCAGCACCUAAAGUAUUCCUCAGGUAGAUCUCUCCGUGAAAACAGUGAUGCAAAAAAACCAAAACAAAUUCCAAACUGGAAAUAUACUUAAACAUUUAUUUUUAUAUUUUAAAGAAAGGUAUAAAAAAUGUGACCAAAUAAUGCAAAAAGUAACUCCCAACAGAAUUCAUACAGAAACACAAACUCAACAUUGGGGUAACCCUAACCCUACAGCUUUGAUGUUGUACAAUGAGUUUCACAGUUUGUUGACUCUAUUUGAGUUUAUUAGACUUUCCCAUUUGUUGUAUCAGUGCCAAAGUCUUGUGGCAACAAGUUCCAGUUUUAAGUCCUUUGGGAGGACACAGUAACCUUUGUGCUUUAUAGAAUUAUUAUUUUCUCAUUAACUUCAGUGUCAACAAUGCUGAAAGCCGUAUAAUGAGAAGCUUUUAAUCAAGUGUGUCGGAGGGAUGGUUUGUGUUUGCUCAUUCUUGUAGAAGCAGAAUUGAUUGAAAAGCUGUAAGAUGGCAUUUAGCUUCACUGGGAAUCAUCUAAAUUGCCAGGAAAAAGGUCACACAACAAAAAUAGCCUUUACUGAUAGGUAAAAUCAAUUAUAUUAAGGCAACAGCAACAUUGAGACA